GACGAACGCUGGCGGCGUGCCUAAUACAUGCAAGUAGAACGCUGAAGGAGGAGCUUGCUUCUCUGGAUGAGUUGCGAACGGGUGAGUAACGCGUAGGUAACCUGCCUGGUAGCGGGGGAUAACUAUUGGAAACGAUAGCUAAUACCGCAUAAGAGUAGAUGUUGCAUGACAUUUGCUUAAAAGGUGCAAUUGCAUCACGACCAGAUGGACCUGCGUUGUAUUAGCUAGUUGGUGGGGUAACGGCUUACCAAGGCGACGAUACAUAGCCGACCUGAGGGGGUGCUGAGGCACGCUGGGACUGAGACACGGCCCAGACUUCUGCGGGAGGCAGCAGUAGGGAAUCUUCGGCAAUGGACGGAAGUCUGACCGAGCAACGCCGCGUGAGUGAAGAAGGUUUUCGGAUCGUAAAGCUCUGUUGUAAGAGAAGAACGAGUGUGGGAGUGGAAAGUUCACACUGUGACGGUAUCUUACCAGAAAGGGACGGCUAACUACGUG
rnacentral:rRNA from 1 species